rnacentral:rRNA from 1 species
UACGUAGGUGGCGAGCGUUGUCCGGAAUUACUGGGUGUAAAGCGCGUGUAGGCGGGAGGCCAAGUCUGUGGUGAAAUCGCUCGGCUUAACUGGGCGGGGUCCAUGGAAACUGGUCACCUGGAGGUCGGUAGAGGCAAGUGGAAUUCCCGGUGUAGUGGUGAAAUGCGUAGAGAUCGGGAGGAACACCAGUGGCGAAGGCGGCCAUCUGGACAGUGACUGACGCUGAGACGCGAAAGCGUGGGGAGCAAACAGG